rnacentral:rRNA from 1 species
GAUGAACGCUGGCGGCGUGCCUAAUACAUGCAAGUCGAGCGAACAGACGAGGAGCUUGCUCCUUCGACGUUAGCGGCGGACGGGUGAGUAACACGUAGAUAACCUACCUAUAAGACUGGGAUAACUUCGGGAAACCGGAGCUAAUACCGGAUAAUAUUUUGAACCGCAUGGUUCGAUAGUGAAAGACGGCUUUGCUGUCACUUAUAGAUGGACCUGCGCUGUAUUAGCUAGUUGGUAAGGUAACGGCUUACCAAGGCAACGAUACGUAGCCGACCUGAGAGGGUGAUCGGCCACACUGGAACUGAGACACGGUCCAGACUCCUACGGGAGGCAGCAGUAGGGAAUCUUCCGCAAUGGGCGAAAGCCUGACGGAGCAACGCCGCGUGAGUGAUGAAGGUCUUCGGAUCGUAAAACUCUGUUAUUAGGGAAGAACAAACGUGUAAGUAACUGUGCACGUCUUGACGGUACCUAAUCAGAAAGCCACGGCUAACUACGUG